GGUCAAUGUCAUUCCGGUUCAGGGUCAGUGGCUCUACCGAUUUCAACAUGGCAGUAAUGGCAACAUCAUCUUCAUUUUCAGUUAAGAAGCCAGAGGAGAUGACACCUUCGAAGCGUGCAUGAGCGUGUCACGGCCCGGCCUUGCAGGACCAUUCUUUCUCAGUCCAGGGGUGGCUGCUUUCUCUUAUCUCACGCUAGCAGCCCCUUUGUUCUCUGCAGCCUGUCUCCCCACCCAAACUCAACUCCCCCCAACCAGCUGCGGCCAGGAGGCCCAACGGCUGAGCUUCGAAAGUGACCCCUACUUGAGACAUAUAAGACAGCGGUGUUUCCAGACACAACCUGCAACUUCCCCCAGGGUUCUCAAAGCUCAGACAGAGCUGGACGUCCAACAUACGGAGGGGCUCCAGAAGUCCCAGAGUGUGGCUCUCUCCCGGCCUCCACCAAGGCUCCCGCUUCGCCUCAGAGGUGGGAGCCGUGCUUUCUUCCCUGAUCUGCUCUCUGCCCACGGCACUGGUCAGCAAAUUAUCUCCACUCUGCAGAACACAAGGCAGCCAUCCCAUACCAGCUGCAUCGACAAGACGUGCUCUUGAGCGAUCACCUUACGAUGCCGACAGUUGUGUAGGAAACACACGGCAAAAGAAAAAACUACCAAAAAUUUGUACAUAAACUCUACUUAUGACCAUCCAAGAUGUGGACUAAUCGAGACAAGCACAAAGAAAAUACUUAAAUAAAAUCAGGUUUAUUUGGAUCAUGAUCUUUUCCUUUUUAAAUAUUUUAUGGUGGCCAUGACUUUACACUUAACAUUUUUAAAAAAAAAUAUAUGUCACAUACUAUAGACUGAAUAUUUGUGCCCCUACCCUGAAUUUCUAGACUGAAAUCCAAUCCCCAACAUAAUGGUACCUGGAAGCAGGACCCUUCAGGUCCUGAUGGGAGAACCCCCCUACGUAGGCUGUAACUACAGUGUCUGUGGAAGGAGGAUCCAGAGGGCUGACUCACUCUCUCUCCAGGGCUCUGAUGCAAUGAGAAGUCAGCUGUCUGCAAGCUGGAAAAGAACUCUAAACAAGCCCCCAUGCUGGUACUCUAAUGUUAGACUCCCAUUCUUCAAAAAUAGUUACAAGUAAAUGCCUAUCCUUUGUAAGCCACUAAGCCCAUAGUACUUUGUUAUAGC
rnacentral:lncRNA from 1 species